GGGCUCGCUUCAGCAGCACACAAUAUAAACUGGAGUAACAUAGGGAAGACUAGCCUUGUUCCUGCACAAGAAAGACAUACAAGUUCCUGAAGUGGUCUCUGUGUUU
ensembl:snRNA U6 U6 spliceosomal RNA